rfam:Musa acuminata subsp. malaccensis Doubled-haploid Pahang (DH-Pahang) genomic chromosome, chr1
GUGAUGUGAAGAUUCAUUGUCUGUCAAUCCACUGACAUACAUCCGUGAUGUUACUCAUGAUAUUCCGAGAUGAUCUGAUCAU